AUGACCCGACCACAUACAUGCCUUCUCGUCUGGAUCCCAAUCCGCCGCCGCCGCGUACGGAUCCCGGUGUCCGCCGGCACAUCCACGUCCCGGUCGGCCUCCCCUCCGCGGCGCCCUGCUCUGGCCUCACCGAUGCAUCCCGCAUAUGUGGUCUCCCCACUGCGGCGCCCUGCUCUGGCCUCGCCAGCGCUCCACGCAUCUCCAGCCUCCCCUCCACGGCGCCCUUCUUCAGCCUCCGUCCCCAACGCGGUCCACACCAGCGACCUCCCUUCCUCCUCCUUCAGCAGCUCCCAUGAUGUGAAUCAACCACACGAGAUGGAGGGAGUUGCGCCAUCGGCCACGGUGGCAGGGGCGGCCCAGAAGACCUCCGAUCUGCUGUUCUAA
rnacentral:rRNA from 1 species